rnacentral:misc_RNA from 1 species
UCCGGUUUGUCACCGGCAGUCUACCUAGAGUGCCCAACUUAAUGGUGGCAACUAAGUACGAGGGUUGCGCUCGUUGCGGGACUUAACCCAACACCUCACGGCACGAGCUGACGACAGCCAUGCAGCACCUGAACCAGCGGUCCCCGAAGGGAAAAUCCUAUUUCUAGGACGAUCCACUGUUGUCUAGUCCAGGUAAGGUUCUUCGCGUUGCGUCGAAUUGAACCACAUGCUCCACCGCUUGUGCGGGCCCCCGUCAAUUCCUUUGAGUUUCACCGUUGCCGGCGUACUCCCCAGGUGGAUUACUUAUCGCUUGCGCUUGGCCGCUGGCUGUGUAUCGCCAACAGCGAGUAAUCAACGUUUACGGUGCGGACUAC